rnacentral:lncRNA from 1 species
AGUCAGCAAAACAUCAACUCUAAGCGUGGUCUAACAAUCUACACCUGCCUCCCGGGUGCACUAAGGAAAGGGGACACAGGUAAGGCCACUGCUGGGGGGUAGAUGUAGAGGGGUCACAGAAAGGGGCAGUCCACUGGGAGUCUAGUCCCAGAGGCUGGCCACAAAUAAGAAGAGCUAGAUAUGGAAGGACAGAGAGAUAUGGUGUAUUUCGUUAAUGUGUUAAACAAUGUAAAUGUUACACACACACACACACACACACACACACACACACACACACAGCUCUACGCAGAGUGGCAUAGUGGCAGCCACACCCCAGUCACAAGGAGCACACCCAGAUCCUGGAUUCUGAUACCAUUCUGCAGUGAGAGGAAACAGGGUCCUUUGGAUUUGAUCUGUGGGCUGGGACAGGAAAAGUCCGUAAGCCCGAGCAUCAUAUAAUGCCAGAAAGUCAGGAAACAGACAAAAAUUCAAAAACGAAGGGGCAUGUCAAAAGGACACAGGAACAGGCCUAAAGAGUCCCUGUCCAGGGCUGGGAUAUUUGAGUAACAACAUAAAUAGCACUAAAUUCACAUGAACUGGAUUCCCCACAGGCAUGAAAUGGAAAGACUCUUCCUUUCUGCUGUGUUUACCUCCGAAAGCCACAAACCCAGUCCAACCAUGAGAGAAAGAAAGAUCAGACAGCUACAGGCUGAGGGACAGUCUACAGAAUACUUAGCCUGUGUAGAAUUGCUAUUCUUGUUGCUGUGUCUAAGUACCUGACCAGAGAUGUAAGGAAGACUUUAUUCUGGGCUCAGGGUUUGGAGAACAACAGUUCAUCGUGGCAGGAGGCAGGAGCACCGGGCAGCUGGUUACAUUGCAUUCUCGGGUAGCAGAACGAUUAAUGCUGGUGUGUGUCUGCUUUUUAUAUAGUCUGGGACCCCAGAUCAUCAGGUGGUAUCACCCACACACAUCAGGUAGGUCUUCCCAGAGAAGUGUCUCCUGGGUGAUUCUAAAUCCAGUUUGGUUGACAGUGAAAUUGAACAUCAUAGCCAAUACCCCUCAAAAUUGUUGAAGGUCUACCUCUUUUUGACUUGGCAUGGCUGCUGCACUAAUGAGCUCACAUCCUCUGACGUUACCUGCACAAGAUCAAGCCUGUGCGCAUUCUAGCAUGGGCCAGGGAAGGGCUCACGAGCUCCUACCACCAGCUGACAAGCUAUGUGGCAAUUGAUGGGUUUUGGCUGCUGUGGUGGUGGGACCACCAUUUUUUAGGGUUGUGGCCACUGGUAAGUUGUAUGUGCUCUGGUGGGUGAAUGGCCCCAUACCCAUCUGCAGAAGGGCAGCAUUAACUGGACUCAUUGCCUUGUUUUUUUUUUUUUGUUUUUUUUGUUUUUUUUUUUUUUUAAAGAAUAAUAAGGAUUAAAGAAAGACAAGCUGAAGGGGUAAGGGAAAAUGUGAGAGGAGAGUUGGGGACCAAGAAUCAAUAGACACAUGGUAUGUGUGUAUGAAAUUGUCAAAGAAUAAAUAAAAGUGUUUAUUAAAAAAAAAAAA